rnacentral:rRNA from 1 species
GACGAACGCUGGCGGCGUGCUUAACACAUGCAAGUCGAACGGAAAGGCCCUGCUUUUGUGGGGUGCUCGAGUGGCGAACUGGUGAGUAACACGUGAGUAACCUGCCCUUGACUUUGGGAUAACUUCAGGAAACUGGGGCUAAUACCGGAUAGGAGCUCCUGCUGCAUGGUGGGGGUUGGAAAGUUUCGGCGGUUGGGGAUGGACUCGCGGCUUAUCAGCUUGUUGGUGGGGUAGUGGCUUACCAAGGCUUUGACGGGUAGCCGGCCUGAGAGGGUGACCGGCCACAUUGGGACUGAGAUACGGCCCAGACUCCUACGGGAGGCAGCAGUGGGGAAUAUUGCACAAUGGGCGGAAGCCUGAUGCAGCAACGCCGCGUGCGGGAUGACGGCCUUCGGGUUGUAAACCGCUUUCGCCUGUGACGAAGCGUGAGUGACGGUAAUGGGUAAAGAAGCACCGGCUAACUACGGG